UAACACAUGCAAGUCGAACGGCAGCACAGUAAGAGCUUGCUCUUAUGGGUGGCGAGUGGCGGACGGGUGAGGAAUACAUCGGAAUCUACCUUUUCGUGGGGGAUAACGUAGGGAAACUUACGCUAAUACCGCAUACGACCUUCGGGUGAAAGCAGGGGACCUUCGGGCCUUGCGCGGAUAGAUGAGCCGAUGUCGGAUUAGCUAGUUGGCGGGGUAAAGGCCCACCAAGGCGACGAUCCGUAGCUGGUCUGAGAGGAUGAUCAGCCACACUGGAACUGAGACACGGUCCAGACUCCUACGGGAGGCAGCAGUGGGGAAUAUUGGACAAUGGGCGCAAGCCUGAUCCAGCCAUACCGCGUGGGUGAAGAAGCCUUCGGGUUGUAAAGCCCUUUUGUUGGGAAAGAAAAGCAAUCGAUUAAUACUC
rnacentral:rRNA from 1 species